CACCGCCUGGGGAGUACGACCGCAAGGUUAAAACUCAAAUGAAUUGACGGGGACCCGCACAAGUAGUGGAGCAUGUGGUUUAAUUCGAAGAUACGCGCAGAACCUUACCAACACUUGACAUGUUCGUCGCGACUUUAAGAGAUUAAAGUUUUCGGUUCGGCCGGACGAAACACAGGUGCUGCAUGGCUGUCGUCAGCUCGUGUCGUGAGAUGUUGGGUUAAGUCCCGCAACGAGCGCAACCCUCACUUUUAGUUGCCAUCAUUAAGUUGGGCACCCUGAAAGAACUGCCAGUGAUAAGCUGGAGGAAGGUGGGGAUGACGUCAAGUCCUCAUGGCCCUUACGUGUUGGGCUACACACGUGCUACAAUGGUAUAUACAACAGGAAGCAAGACGGCGACGUUAAGCAAAUCCUCAAAAGAUACCUCAGUUCGGAUUGCACUCUGCAACUCGAGUGCAUGAAGCUGGAAUUACUAGUAAUCGUGGAUCAGCGUGCCACGGUGAAUGCGUUCCCGGGUCUUGUACACACCGCCCGUCACACCAUGGGAGUUGGUUCUACCUUAAGGCAAGGUUUCAAACCCUUGACCACGGUAUAGUCAGCGACUGGGGUGAAGUCGUAACAAGGUAGCCGUAGGGGAACCUGCGGCUGGAUUACCUCCUUUCUAAGGAUGAAUAAAAGUAAAUUUUUAUUCUAAAAAAUACACAGGUUAAUGUUGACCGUCCUCAUUUCUCUUCUUAAUAUUUAGUGUUUCUCUUGAAUGGGGGCCGGUAGCUCAGUUGGUUAGAGCACACCCUUGAUAAGGGUGGGGUCGAAAGUUCGAGUCUUUCUCGGCCCACCAAAAGGUAAUUAAGGGGGAUUAGCUCAGCUGGGAGAGCGCCUGAUUUGCAUUCAGGAGGUCAGCGGUUCGAUCCCGCUAUCCUCCACCAAAAGUAACACUUAGCUAUUUAAUUUGUGAAUAAAAAUAAUAUUAAUAUCAAUAUCUAUAUCCGAUUGUUCGAAUAGAUGAACAACCAUUACAAAUGUUCGAAUAGAUGAACAUUUUUGAAAAAAUUUGAUUCAACACAGAAUUUUUUUCUG
rnacentral:sRNA from 1 species